AGUUUGAUCAUGGCUCAGAGCGAACGCUAGCGGCGGGCUUAACACAUGCAAGUCGAGCGGAGAGCUUCGGCUCUCAGCGGCGAACGGGUGAGUAACACGUAGGUCACGUACCCUUUGAUGGGGAAUAACCUAGGGAAACCUGGGCUAAUACCGCAUAUGUCCUUCGGGAUGAAAGCCUUCGGGCGUCAGAGGAUCGGCCUGCGGCCCAUUAUUUAAUCCUAGUUGGUAGGGUAAUGGCCUACCAAGGGUACGAUGGGUAGCUGGUCUGAGAGGAUGAUCAGCCACACUGGAACUGAGACACGGUUCAGACUCCUACGGGAGGCAGCAGUGGGGAAUAUUGGACAAUGGGCGAAAGCCUGAUCCAGCCACGCCGCGUGGGUGAUGAAGGCCUUCGGGUUGUAAAGCCCUGUCGGGAGGGACGAAUCAAUGACGGUACCUCCCAAGAAAGCACCGGCUAACUCCGUG
rnacentral:rRNA from 1 species